rnacentral:rRNA from 1 species
AUGUUUUAUUCUUUGACCGUUCACCACCUUUGGAUUUGUGCCUUCGAAGUUGCUGAUUUUUAUGGCACCAGAACGAUAGACCUCCUAGAUCUUGUAGCACUUAGCAACGAAGCCCUAUCCAUUAGUAUUCCACAUAAGAAAUCCAUUCUAGAAAAAAAUACAAUUAGAUUAGCUCUUCAUAGACAAACUUGGGGUUUGCGAGCCAAGGUAAGAUCGGCUCGGGAUCAUGGGACCCUUUUCUAUCAGAUAGGUUGUACGUUCAUAAUGAUACCAUGA